GAAACAAAAGAGAACAUGUAACGAUGGUAGAGAAACAAGAUAGAAAGAAGACAUGUGGGCUUUCUGUUAUAUGGAGCACCCACACCAACCCCAGAAAGUUUCCUCAAGAUUGUUAAAAGAAAGAAAAGUACAAUUUGAAGUCAUUUAACCAGUUAUUUGGAGUCUCUGUUUUAGCAACCAAACUUAAUACCCUAAAUAAUACAGGCUAUCGUUGUUUAGUAAGUACUCACUAAACUCAUCUCUAGAGUUCUCCAGCUGACAAUGGAGAUGAAAUUUCAGGCUCUUUCAGGGAUAACCUUUAAAGGAGAUGUCGUAAUGAAGAUAGAGCAAUAUUGGCUAAAGGAGAAUCUUUAUGGAAAUAAAAUAGAUGCAAGAGGCAAUAGUACCUUUGAUAAAUCAGUACAGGUGCAUGGGGCAUAUUUCAUGUUGUGAUGUGGUUUAAUUAUUCAUUUCAGCACCAGCAUUAUGAAUGCACUGAUUCUCUUGAAGGAGAUUGGGGCUGAGAGGGAAGAAAUUGUGGACCCUCUGGAAGCUACUUAACUGGAAGGUGGUCAACAUCCUUUGUAUUGUACCGGGUGCCUCUUACUUCUCAAAAGGGUUGUAAGCAAUGAAACUGUGUUUUUGUUUGCCCUGUGUCUAGAUGUCUGGGUGAUGGACGUGGAAAACUUUGUUUUGUGUUACAGGCCCAUCUAUUCUGAGGAGGAGAGAAUGAAGGGAGUAGAAAGGAACGUGGGGCUCUCAUGAACUUCUUUGAGUACCCCAGCACCCAAGGUGGUGUCACACCUCCAGAAUACCCGAGACAUUCAUCACCUGAGACCGGCAUCUUCUAGUCCGGAGACCUUUCCUUGAGGGAAGAACCUUAGCCUUUCAAAAGGGUCUCUGCACUCCAGGGAGAGCUUCUUACCAACCUCCCAGAAUGCAGGCUCAGUGAAUAAGGAUAUGGGGUUUAGGCCCAGGAAGGUCUGAGGCCAAUUCCCAACUCUACAAUGUUCCUAUCAGAUUCCUGGUUCCUUGCUGCUAAAAUCCCCGCAACGGUCUCUCCUAGACGUGGGAUUCUGUGAGAGCUGAAUUCAACUCUUGGAUGCUCAGCGCCUGGCAAGUUGUCUGCCCCUGAAAGUCAUGUUGAGUCGGUGAAUGAGGAGCUGCGCUUUGAAGAAUGGGCUGCCGUUAUUCAAUCAGGAAUAUCAGCGCUUGCCUUUUGAAGCCAAAAUUACAUCCUAGGAGCAAGUUUGAUUUUGUGCCUCAAGAGACACCCUCGGGAGAGCUGCAGUCAAUAUUUCAUUAUAUCAGGGGAACGAUAGGGACAGGGGCUGAGGGGGGUCCAGUCCCAAAGGAUUUCCCUGAAGGUCAACUUCCUCUCUAGGAGAAGUUGGGAACCAAGGUGGGAAACCAAUGCAAAGCAAUACAAAGCGAGGCAGGAUUCUGGGAUGAGGCAGAAGAGGAAAACUAGGAAGCUUCUGUCGAUGGAUUCUGCAGCUCAAACAAGCUUCCCGGCAGCAGGAUUGGACAGGCUUUACCUGGUGGGAUCUGAGGCCAUGGGUGAUGAUGCUCAGGUGUUUGUAACCAAUGACUGAUGACAGAAAAGGGAGACACCUGACAGGGUCUAGGCCACAGCUCUGCAGGGGGACAGGGAAGCAGCCACACAGCUGUGCUGACUUGGGGCUGGUCCGCACCUUUCACUGGAGCCUCUGUGUGGUAAAGCAUCUGUCCGUUCUUCCCACAACAUUUUGCCACCAUCAAUCUCAUCAACUGUUCCUUCCCCAAGCCUCUGCCAAGAAGAAACUCCCUUAGAAUCGUUGCGUGAAAAAUGAGGCUUGGUUGUUAGUCUGAAGGCUGGCAAAUUUCACUGUGUCCCCAUAGACACUCCAUCAAACACAGCUACAAAUCGACUUCCAACACAGGCAUAAUUGAUUGGCUAUGCACUUAGGAUUUGGAGCUGAGCUCACAGCUCCAACUGGGUUUUACAUGUGGUUGUCUUCCCCAGCUUUGGGGCAUCCUACCUAUGGGUCUCGGUGGAGGCUCCCUCAGUGAGUGACAGCUCCCUGUGGUGGCUGUGUGCUGUAGUCUAUUCUGACGCAUAGCAACCACAUGAGGCAGGAGGACCAUCAGCCUUCCUAGGUUGCCAUCCUCAACCCUGUUCCCAAGUGGGAUUACAUUCAUGUGCAUACCCAAACCGAACUCCCUGCCAUCCUUCCUUCUGCCUCAGAACAACCCUAUAAGAUAGA